rnacentral:rRNA from 1 species
CACGUAGGGUGCGAGCGUUGUCCGGAAUUAUUGGGCGUAAAGCGCGCGUAGGCGGUUACUCAAGUCGGAUGUGAAAGCCCUCGGCUUAACUGAGGAAGUGCACCCGAAACUGAGUAGCUAGAGUACUAAAGAGGGUCGCGGAAUUCCCGGUGUAGAGGUGAAAUUCGUAGAUAUCGGGAGGAACACCAGAGGCGAAGGCGGCGACCUGGACAAGUACUGACACUCAACUACGAAAGCGUGGGGAGCAAACAGG